UCAGGUUGAAACAGCGAUUUCCGUACGAUCACCGAAGUUAAGCAACGUCGAACCUGGCCAGUACCUAGAUGGGUGACCACUUGAGAAUAUCAGAUGCUGAA